rnacentral:rRNA from 1 species
GACGAACGCUGGCGGCGUGCUUAACACAUGCAAGUCGAACGGAAAGGCCCUGCUUUUGUGGGGUGCUCGAGUGGCGAACGGGUGAGUAACACGUGAGUAACCUGCCCUUGACUUUGGGAUAACUUCAGGAAACUGGGGCUAAUACCGGAUAGGAGCUCCUGCUGCAUGGUGGGGGUUGGAAAGUUUCGGCGGUUGGGGAUGGACUCGCGGCUUAUCAGCUUGUUGGUGGGGUAGUGGCUUACCAAGGCUUUGACGGGUAGCCGGCCUGAGAGGGUGACCGGCCACAUUGGGACUGAGCUACGGCCCAGACUCCUACGGGAGGCAGCAGUGGGGAAUAUUGCACACUGGGCGGAAGCCUGAUGCAGCAACGCCGCGUGCGGGAUGACGGCCUUCGGGUUGUAAACCGCUUUCGCCUGUGACGAAGCGUGAGUGACGGUAAUGGGUAAAGAAGCACCGGCUAACUACGUG